rnacentral:rRNA from 1 species
GAUGCUGGAUGUCUUGAGUGCAGUUGAGGCAGGCGGAAUUCGUGGUGUAGCGGUGAAAUGCUUAGAUAUCACAAAGAACUCCGAUUGCGAAGGCAGCCUGCUAAGCUGCAACUGACAUUGAGGCUCGAAAGUGUGGGUAUCAAACAGGAUUAGAUACCCUGGUAGUCCACACGGUAAACGAUGAAUACUCGCUGUUUGCGAUAUACGGCAAGCGGCCAAGCGAAAGCGUUAAGUAUUCCACCUGGGGAGUACGCCGGCAACGGUGAAACUCAAAGGAAUUGACGGGGGCCCGCACAAGCGGAGGAACAUGUGGUUUAAUUCGAUGAUACGCGAGGAACCUUACCCGGGCUUAAAUUGCACUCGAAUGAUCCGGAAACGGUUCAGCUAGCAAUAGCGAGUGUGAAGGUGCUGCAUGGUUGUCGUCAGCUCGUGCCGUGAGGUGUCGGCUUAAGUGCCAUAACGAGCGCAACCCUUGUUGUCAGUUACUAACAGGUGAUGCUGAGGACUCUGACAAGACUGCCAUCGUAAGAUGUGAGGAAGGUGGGGAUGACGUCAAAUCAGCACGGCCCUUACGUCCGGGGCUACACACGUGUUACAAUGGGGGGUACAGAGGGCCGCUACCACGCGAGUGGAUGCCAAUCCCUAAAACCCCUCUCAGUUCGGACUGGAGUCUGCAACCCGACUCCACGAAGCUGGACUCGCUAGUAAUCGCGCAUCAGCCACGGCGCGGUGAAUACGUUCCCGGGCCUUGUACACACCGCCCGUCAAGCCAUGGGAGCCGGGGGUACCUGAAGUGCGUAACCGCGAGGAUCGCCCUAGGGUAAAACUGGUGAC